GGGGAUGAAAGGUUUCGACGGGGCAGGUCCCGUGUGCGGACUGCAAGCCGAGGCGCCUGACCUCGUAAAAACGGGCAACACCAUUAACUGCCAAAAACACUGGCAAGGCUUUCAACUUCGGUUUCGCCGCCAACAGCAACGCCAUGGCGAUUGCUGCUUAAGCGGACUGAGGCGAAAAGGCCCUGGCCGUAGACAUACGGUCACGACCCCGGGAGCGGGUCCUGGCAGCGCUUCCGGUCAGUCGUCAUAGACUGCAAGGUGCUACCCGCAGGACGCCGAUAAAGCGGGUCUAAGAUGAUCGGCUAGCCUGUACCCAGGAUGGGGUCCCUACCAUCCACCAGGCGAAGCCUGAAGUAGAGACUAAGCUUGUAGACGUUCGUAGGCGGCUGUUCCGGACCGGGGUUCGAUUCCCCGCAUCUCCACCU
rnacentral:tmRNA from 1 species